rnacentral:rRNA from 1 species
UGAGACUACGGGGGGCAGCAGUGGGGGAUAUUGGACAAUGGGGGGAACCCUGAUCCAGCGACGCCGCGUGAGUGAAGAAGUAUUUCGGUAUGUAAAGCUCUAUCAGCAGGGAAGAAAAUGACGGUACCUGACUAAGAAGCCCCGGCUAACUACGUGCCAGCAGCCGCGGUAAUACGUAGGGGGCAAGCGUUAUCCGGAUUUACUGGGUGUAAAGGGAGCGUAGACGGCAGAGCAAGUCUGAAGUGAAAGCCCGCGGCCCAAC